rnacentral:rRNA from 1 species
CCCUUAGGUGUUCUGGGCGGCCCGCGCACUACAAUGGCGCUUUCAGCGAGUUCCUAUGUUGAAUUUUCCUGGGUAUUCUUGGAAGCGGCGUCUUGACUUGGGAUAGAUCCUUGUAAUUGUUGGUUUUGAACGAGGAAUUCCUUGUAAUCGCGGUUGAUCAGCUCGCGUUGAAUACGUCCCUGCCCUUUGUACACACCGCCCGUCGCUCCUACCGAUGAAUCGUCCGGUGAAGUUCACAGAGUGGCGGUUCGUGGAGUUGCUCGCGAAGUGAAAUGGACCUCACGAUUUAGAGGAAGGAGAAGUCGUAACA